AUUCGACCUCAAAUCAGGUAGGACUACC
rnacentral:rRNA from 1 species